ensembl:lncRNA
CUUAUGUGUAUUCAUAUAUUUACAAGUAUCUGUAAACUUCUGAAAUAAUAGACAACAUAUUUCAUCCCUAAAUAUUUCAGUAUUGUCUCAGAAUAAAGACAUCCUUCUAAACAAACACAAAUUCAUAUUACAACUAGAAAGUUAAUAACAAUUCUUUAAUAUCCAGCCGUACUCAAAUAUCCUUAAAUGUCCCAAAAUGUCUUAUACUUCUAGAAACCAAGAUCCAAAGAUCAUACAUUGCAUUGUUUUCCACCUUAAGUUUUUUAAAAUCUAGAACAGUAACCCAUCUGUUUCUCUCACAGCAUUGACUUUUUAAAAAGGCCAGUCCAGUUGUCUUUCAAACCGUCCCUCCUUCCAGAAUGGCCUCACUGACCACCUUUAGAGAAGCGCCGUCCCGUCUUCUGUGUGUACGAGAUCUUCCUUGACGUUUGUAUUUAUCCCGUUCUCUGAUAGUCACUGCUUGUCUUCACUUUUGAGAUGUUUUUCUUCAGUUUUUUGUUUUCCCCUGUUAGUAGGCAUUUCACAUCUUCAUGUGUUUUGGUCCAGUUCUGAAUUUCUAAUUUGGAUUUUUUUAAUGUCUGCAAUUAUUUAGAUAUAAUUCAGACUAGUAUAUUGUGUUUAAGGAUUUUACUGUUUUUUUUUUUUUUUUUUCCUGUUUAGCCCUCGUUUUCAGUUUUCUCUUUAGAGUGACUUUGGAUGUAUUUUUUGGAGUAGAUUCAAAAGAAGUUGCCAAGAAGUACUACUCAGAGAGGUCCUGCGGACCCUCCCCUCAGCGUGCCUCGAUGGUGACAGGUCACUGCAGUUCAGUACCCAAGCCAGGAGACUGCACAGUCCCCAGACUGUGUUCAGGUGUUACCACUUCUAAGUCCCCGCGCGCGUGUCAUCCGCGCAGUUGUGUCACACGUAAAUUUCUGUAACUGCCACAGUGGAGACACAGAACUGUUCCAUCACAAAAACUUAGUGCUGUCCCUCACAGUCAUACACAUUCCCUGCCACCAUCCCUAAUCCUGACAACUGCUAAUAAUUCUCUGUAGUUCUCCACAAUCUUGUCAUUUCAAAAACAUUAUAUAAAUGAAUCAUACAGAAUGUGAUCCUGAGAGAUUGGCUUUCUUCAUUCAGCAUAACUCAUUUGAGAUCCAUCUAAAUUUAGUCAACAGUUCCUUUUUAUUGCUGACUCUAUUUCAUUGUAUGGGUGUACCAGUUUAUUUCAACUAGCCACCUUGGGGCAUUUGGGUGGUUUCCCAACUUUGGCUGCUAUGAACAUAAGGUAUGACCUUUAUCAGCAUACCUUUCAUCUCUGUGGGAUAAACGUCCAGGAGUGUGGUUGCCAGGUCUUCUAUAGAGCUGCUAUGUUUCUUUCCCCCCCUUUACAAAGGAGUAGCUCCCCCGUCUCCAAGAAGUGGUAUCUUCCUGAGAUUCUGAUUGUGUGCGUUUUCAGCCUCUUUUGACUUCCCAGGAGUCUGACCUCCUAGGUCUCACACUGCUUCCUGGCAUUUCUCCACUCUGGAUGAGAACUGCUGCUUUCGGGAAUGAGCCCUGGGGCCCCAUUAUUCCCCUUCCUGGGCAGUGCCCACUUGACUCGGCUCUUGUGUUCCAGAGCGGACUGCUAGUUUGAGAUGCCUAUUUCCCCAUGUACAUGUCAGCAGAAGUUUGCCGUAUUCUGUCUUCUAAGCAUACCACAGACAUGGGCUACGGGGGAUCACAACUGCCCCUUCUUGUGCACCUGUUACUUUAAGGAUGACAGCAGACAUCUGACUUGGAAGGUGGCUGUCAUCCUACUCUUGCUGCCAGAAAUUUUCCUGAGUGGACUAGUUAUAGAUUUUGUAAAAAUGAUUUUUCUCAGACUCACUUUUUAAAAUAAACAUAAUUACAUCAAGGAAAAAACAAAACACCCUGAGAACUUAAUGGAAUUUUGAGGAUUAAACAUGUAUUUACAGGAGUAUCAGUAAAUAUUUAAAAAUGCCAUUAACAUCUGAUUGUCCUUGGUCAAAGACUGGGGAGAGAAAAUUUGGAAUUUAGGAGAUGCCACUGCUGUUCCAACUACAGUGUAUGUGCUGCGGAAGUGAGCACAGAAGGUGCCACUUUUGGACUAUUACUCUUUGUUAUUGGUUUGGGUUCCCCCUGCCUUUAAAAAUUUUUUUUGUUACCUACUUCAGCCAGAUAAUAUUUCUGGUUGAUUCUGUAAUGCCCAUUGGAGGUUCAACCAAAUAUUCAGACUCAAAAAGCCCGUGGUGACAGGCUUCAUCUGGCACCAGUUCACUCAGAUGGACAAAACCCAAGCUGGCCCAGGUGGUCGGUGUCAGGCUUCCCGACAUUCGGAUGACCUUCCAGCAGUGUCCGGAGCAGCGCAUCCAUGCAGCUCCGCAACGACCAUCGCGCCGGGUCACAGCUCGGGAAUCCCAAAGGGACAGGCCCUUAAGAGUUUUCCCAUCCCAGGAAGUCUGCAGCUGUGGUUUCCUGUCAAGUAUCUGGAGUCUUCCCAGUCUGGAC